UACAGAGGUCUCAACCGUUGUUCGGAUUCAUUGGGCGUAAAGGGUGCAUAGGCGGUCGUGCAAGUCGGAUGUGAAAUCUCAGGGCUCAACCCUGAAACUGCAUUCGAUACUGCGUGGCUAGAGUGCUGGAGAGGAGACUGGAAUUUACGGUGUAGCAGUGAAAUGCGUAGAUAUCGUAAGGAAGACCAGUGGCGAAGGCGAGUCUCUGGACAGUUCCUGACGCUGAGGCACGAAGGUCAGGGGAGCAAACGGG
rnacentral:rRNA from 1 species